GUUACAUGUUUCAUUGAUAAUUAUGUAGUUUCAAUGGCCAGGUCACGAUAUUCCGUGAUUUUUUCAGGCUCUUUUUUUUCAAUUUUGGCGUCUCCCAGUACAGUGAUAUCAAUAAAUUGUACACUUCAGUUUUCAACAACUGUGAUAUCUGACAUGUUGUGUUCCAAAUGACAAUCCGUCUGUGUUCGAAAGUCCCACAAGAUCUUCACCAUCUCAUUUUCAACAACGUUUUCUACUUUAUGUUCCCAUGACUUUUCAAAUGCAGGUAAGGCAUAUCUUUUAGAUAAUGACCAGUGGAUUAAUUUAGCAACUCGGUUGUGUCUAGCUUUGUAAUCAGUUUGUGCGAUUUUGCUGCACUCACAUAUUAAAUGUGAAACAGUUUCAACUUUGUCAUUGCAAAGUCGGCAGUUUGGAUUGUCAGUGGAUUUUUAUAUUUUCACUUUCAUGGUAUUGUAGUGCUUGUUCUUAGCAUCAAGUAUUAAACUUUCCGUUUCUUUCUUGAUAGUUCCCGUCUUAAGCCAUGUCCAUGCCAGUUGUUAUCACAUUUUUCUUCAAUGCUUUUCAAGUGCUAUCCAUGCACAGCUUUGGUUUUCCAUCUAUUUAAUCUGUCAUCUAGCUGUUUUUCCUUAUAUUCUGCCUUUGUUUCUGUUGUUUUUAUAAUGUCCUCUAUUUUCACAGCCUGCAGCAAUUUUUCUGUACUUUGGUUCACAUAGUCAUUCAAACUUUGUUUUCCUUUUUCUACAGUUUGAUGGAUUUGCAAUAGCCCUCUGCUCCCUAUUCUUCUUGGCAGGUACAACCUGUCGAUGUCACUUCGUGGAUGUAAACCAUGAAUAUUAUCAGAGAAAUAAAUUACAGCUGGUAUUUAUUAGAGCUGGUAUUUAUUAGAGCUGUGGUAGUGCAGUGCUUAAAUGCAAUACUGCAGGCUACAUCUGCUGAAUGCUGGCUGCCUGCAAUUUGGCAAUUUGAAUCUCACCAGGCUCAAGGUUGACUCAGCCUUCCAUCCUUCUGAGAAGUAUUAUCUCCUGGCUCUUCUGUGCCAAUCAAAGCAAAAAAAUCUUCUAGAUUUUCACCUUCUGCUCUAGCCAAGCAAAAAUUACUGUAUUUUAAAGUGCCUGCUCCAUCCAAGAGAAUCUGUAAAGUUAA